rnacentral:rRNA from 1 species
GACGAACGCUAGCGGGAGGCUUAACACAUGCAAGUCGAGGGGCAGCAUAGGGUAGCAAUACUCUGAUGGCGACCGGCAAACGGGUGAGUAACGCGUAUGUAACCUACCCUGUACAGGGGGAUAACCCGGAGAAAUUCGGACUAAUAUCCCAUAACAAUAUCCGGGGGCAUCUUUGGAUAUUUAAAGUUCCGGCGGUACGGGAUGGGCAUGCGUAACAUUAGCUAGUUGGUAAGGUAACGGCUUACCAAGGCUUUGAUGUUUAGGGGUCCUGAGAGGGUGGUCCCCCACACUGGUACUGAGACACGGACCAGACUCCUACGGGAGGCAGCAGUGAGGAAUAUUGGUCAAUGGGCGCAAGCCUGAACCAGCCAUCCCGCGUGCAGGAAGACGGCGCUAUGCGUUGUAAACUGCUUUUCCAGGGAGAGAAACUUGCGCACGUGUUGCGCAAUUGACGGUACCCUGGGAAUAAGCAUCGGCUAACUCCGUGCCAGCAGCCGCGGUAAUCGUAGUCU